GUCAACUACUCCCACUUAUAGAAGUGGGAGCUUGUAAAAGCUCGGUUGACUAGGCUAAGCAUUUAUUUGCUCCGUUAUAUUUGAUAUAGACACCAUAGAAUGAUACCCUAGUUCUAUGCAACUGUCGUGGCUCUGUAAACAGUCCUAAAGAGU
rfam:Epulopiscium sp. Nuni2H_MBin001 Nuni2HMBin001_44, whole genome shotgun sequence.